rnacentral:rRNA from 1 species
CGGACGGGUGGAGUAAUGUCUGGGAAACUGCCUGAUGGAGGGGGAUAACUACUGGAAACGGUAGCUAAUACCGCAUAACGUCGCAAGACCAAAGAGGGGGACCUUAGGGCCUCUUGCCAUCGGAUGUGCCCAGAUGGGAUUAGCUUGUUGGUGGGGUAACGGCUCACCAAGGCGACGAUCCCUAGCUGGUCUGAGAGGAUGACCAGCCACACUGGAACUGAGACACGGUCCAG